GACGAACGCUGGCGGCGUGCUUAACACAUGCAAGUCGAACGGAAAGGCCCUGCUUUUGUGGGGUGCUCGAGUGGCGAACGGGUGAGUAACACGUGAGUAACCUGCCCUUGACUUUGGGAUAACUUCAGGAAACUGGGGCUAAUACCGGAUAGGAGCUCCUGCUGCAUGGUGGGGGUUGGAAAGUUUCGGCGGUUGGGGAUGGACUCGCGGCUUAUCAGCUUGUUGGUGGGGUAGUGGCUUACCAAGGCUUUGACGGGUAGCCGGCCUGAGAGGGUGACCGGCCACAUUGGGCCUGAGGUACGGCCCAGACUCCUACGGGAGGCAGCAGUGGGGAAUAUUGCACAAUGGGCGGAAGCCUGAUGCAGCAGCGCCGCGUGCGGGAUGCCGGCCUUCGGGUUGUAAACCGCUUUCGCCUGUGACGAAGCGUGAGUGACGGUAAUGGGUAAAGAAGCACCGGCUAACUACGUG
rnacentral:rRNA from 1 species